AAUCGAAUAAUGCACGUAUGUGGUGCACGUUGAUGGACUUUCCGACGAAUCUACGUUUGUGGACGACGUCGGUGGUUCGUAAUGAAGACGCGACACGCGGAGGCUUUCGAUCGAGUGUAGUAAACAUGCAAUGAUUUCGACGCUUGAUGGUUGGGAGUCUUCGGUCGUGACAUGGGCGUGGCGACGAACUGCCACUCUUCCCCUCGGGAAGACUACAUUUUUCU
rnacentral:misc_RNA from 1 species